CGCCCUCAAGGGUCCCUUAGUGGAAUCACGUCAUCUUGCAUUCUGCGAUGGCGUGAGGAGAUUACGGUAGCCUUAGUGGCAUCUUGGGGAUCAUUGUGCCUCCACACCGCUCCAACGGAGAUUAGCAUCCGCAAGGGUCUGAACUUCGGGAUACAUCAUCAUCUCCAAGUGCCUCGGUUAUCUCUUACCCGAACCCUAUAUAUAUGUGCUUUACUCUGUGAUAGCCAUAUUGUUUCUUGUCAUAUAUCUUAUUAUCACUUAGUUG
rnacentral:lncRNA from 1 species